UACGUAGGGUGCGAGCGUUGUCCGGAAUUAUUGGGCGUAAAGAGCUCGUAGGCGGCUUGUCGCGUCGGAUGUGAAAGCCCGGGGCUUAACUCCGGGUCUGCAUUCGAUACGGGCAGGCUAGAGUUCGGUAGGGGAGAUCGGAAUUCCUGGUGUAGCGGUGAAAUGCGCAGAUAUCAGGAGGAACACCGGUGGCGAAGGCGGAUCUCUGGGCCGAUACUGACGCUGAGGAGCGAAGGCGUGGGGAGCGAACAGG
rnacentral:rRNA from 1 species